UACGGAAGGCAGCAGUGGGGAAUAUUGCACAAUGGGCGAAAGCCUGAUGCAGCUAUGCCGCGUGUAUGAAGAAGGCCUUAGGGUUGUAAAGUACUUUUCAUCGGGGAGGAAAAAACAAAACUAAUAAUUUUUAUUUUCUUUGACGUUACCCGAAAAAGAAGCACCGGCUAACUCCGUGCCAGCAGCCGCGGUAAUACGGAGGGUGCUAGCGUUAAUCAGAAUUACUGGGCGUAAAGAGCACGUAGGUGGUUUUUUUAAGUUCAGAUGUGAAAUCCCCCGGGCUUAACCUAGGAACUGCAUUUUGAAACUGAAAUACUAGAGUAUCGUAGAGGGAGGUAGAAUUCUAGGUGUAGCGGUGAAAUGCGUAGAUAUCUGGAGGAAUACCUGUGGCGAAAGCGGCCUCCUAAACGAAUACUGACACUGAGGUGCGAAAGCGUGGGGAGCAAACAGGGAUUAGAUACC
rnacentral:rRNA from 1 species